ACAGACCUAGUGCAGCUUUGUGUGUGCAUGUGAGAGAGGCUGAGGUGAGUAGAUUCGCCUCAUGACUCAAUAGCGAGGUGCUUUCAGCCUUGUUACGAACUGACCUCUGCAGGGACUUGAAAGCUCUCUUCAUCGCUGAUUGACUUCGAUAUGCCAGACCAGCGUGAUCUGUCUAAGCAUGUGGAAUGAGAGUGAAAGCAAGCCUGAGACACUACAAGAACCGAGAAUGAGAUGCGGAGAGGUUCGAGAUUGCCGUGGCUAUGUGAGAGGGUGAGAUGCUAAUAGACAAAAAAAAAAAAAAAACAUGCAUGCUGUUUGACAGAAGUGGCCUAUUCUGACACCUGCAGCCUUUCUGAACCCUGCGACAGUGGUGUCAUGACAGGCCUCGCCUCCCACUCAAUCACGGUGCUGCUAAUCACAUGCUAAUAAAUUAGCUCCUGUCCUUGGGUCAUAUCCCCCAUGCUAUCAGCAAACAUCUACGGUGUCACUUAUCUUUUUCUCACCCUCUAAAAUGAAGAAAAAGCUGUGACGUUUGUAGUAGCUCGGAAGAGUGUUAAGAUUAUAAAUAAAGACAGAUUUUUUUUGG